UCGGUUGCGACCCACCAAACGGUGUGAGAGGUUAUUUCAUCAGAAGAAUGUGUGAAUAAAAAUUGGGGUGGUUGGCAGUGUGGGGUGGGGGGCGAGUAGUGAAGUGGACCAGGACCCCUUGUAAAAAACGAGUGAUAAAUUAUUAACAUAACUGUUUGAAGUGUGCCAUGUUGCAAGGGUUCGCAAACUUUAAUCUCAGGGCCGCUUAACAACGCUCAGCUGGGUUUGUACAGUAUCAGCUCUUACUGCCAAUACACCGAUAGAGCAGUAUGGACUUUGGGCAGUAUGUUCAUUUUAUAUAAAAGUCCAAAAUAUGUCAUUCAUAAAAUCACAGUACACAGAUGUUAGGACCCCUGGUGUAUUGUGCGGGGUUGCAGGUGUAGACGGUGCAUCUAAGACGGUUUUACCUGUACGAGGCUGUUGUUUUAUCUCUUUCUCCUUGUGGACACUGGGCUGGUGCACUCCUCUCUGCAUGUCUAUCACGCAUUGGUCUUCUUCAUGCAGAAGCUUUGCAGGAGAUGUGUCCAAAGCAGCGAUUAUUCCCGAUUUAUUUUUUCGUUCUGGGAAGUCGAACAAAAACAUUUUGAAAAGAUGGAAGCUCACUUGCUGUAUUUGCGAGGGUGUAGUUUCCUAAGGACAGGGGCUGACUCAGCUGCUGGAAAUAAAUUGUUUUUGUGAAUAUA